UUCAGAGUUUCUUUUUCUCUCUCCAAGGUAACACACAUAUCAAAAGACAUGGAUUGUGGGUAGAACUUCCUAAAAUUGCUGGUGAGAAGUGUGCCAUGCAUAAACAUACUUCACUAGCUUGAAUUUUCUGUUAGUCUCACAGGAAACAAUUACAAUCCUGUAUGUUUUUCUAUCUCCACACACUCCUGAACAUAGAAAGACCAAGUAACAUCCCUGGUUAAGAUGUGUACAGGUUACAAGACAUGUCUAAAUAUAUUCACCAAGAGGUUUAUUAUUUUCACAGUGGCAUUCACUAAAUCAGUUGUCAGUAUAGCAUUACUCAAGGAAUAAGCAGGGUCUUUAAUUUAUCAAAGUUUGGAGUCCACCCCAAGUUGGAUCACUGAAGCACAUAACUAUAGAUAAGGUCACUCAAAAGCACAAAUCCAGGUAAUAAAUAUUCAGUAGUAGUUUAUAUGCAUUUAGCAAUUUGAAUGCUGGGAAAUGUAGCCCAGAAAAUCAAUCGACCUUCAACUAUUAAAGAGGCAUUCAUGGCACCUGCACUUUGAAUCUUUUCAGACGAAGGUUAAACAGGAGACACGGUAGCUCACGUAUACUGCAAAACCCCUUCCUCUUUCCCUUUUUAUCUAUGAACCUGCCCUUUUCAAUGUUAUCUAGAUGCCUGAAGGUAUGAAUACCCUUGAUCUUAGUAAAAAAUGGUACCACCCAUCAGCAAAAUCUCACUGAUCAGUGUCUAUGUUACCUCACUGAGUUAGCCUUUUGUGUUGUUGUGGCCCAGGAUGACAAUGUUGACAGAAUCCAAACCAGUAGUUGGAAAGUUAAUGUUAGAUGCGUCUUUGACAAUUGAUGGAAUGACCUGAAAUCAAAUGUGAGGCAGUGGAGACACAAGAAUGCUAUUCAGGCAGUGAGUGAUCUGUGGAGAUACUAAAUGAAAUAUCUGGAAGGAAUUGUAAUCUUGAAACUAUGCUUUUAUGUGUUUUUUGAUGUAAACAGUUUCUAUUUAUGGUGGAGCUGCAGUGUCCAUUUCCCAUGAUGUUCCCAUAGUGUUAACUAAUACAGUCAUGUGUCACUUAAUGACAGGGGUGUGUCUGAGCAAUGCAUUGCUGGACAAUUUUAUUAUUGUAUGAACAUCACAGAGUUUACUUACACAAACCUAGAUGCUAUAGCUGAUUAUAUGCCUAGGUUAGGUGGUAUAGCCUAUUCCUCCUAGGCUACAAACCUGUGCAGCAUGUUACUGUACUGAAUACUGUAGGCAAUUGUAACACAACAGUUAAGUAUAUCUAUAGUUACUAAUAUCUAUACAGUAAGUGUAUCUAUACAUGUCUAAACAUACAAGAGGUACAGUAAAAGUACAGUGUUAUGAUUUUAUUGCACCACUCUCAUACAUGUGCACUAUCCUUGACCAAAAUGUUGUUAUGUGAUGCAUGAUUGUAACAAAAGAAUUAAUUAAAUAUAAUAUUGAAGUGCCUAUUGAGAUUUCAAUGAAGAAAGGAAUAUUUGUAAAUUCUGAUUACCUUAAGUGAGAAUUGACUUUCUUCCUGUUUCCAUGGCUGUUCUUGUGAAAGAGCAUAGCUUUCCAAAGACCUGAAAUCUCUAACAAAUCUUGCAAUUCUCUAUUGCCUGCAUUAUGAAGGUCACCUGGUGUCAAAUGAGGCAAAAUGGUAGAUUAUAAAGACCUGUACUUUAUUGUCAGUUCCUAAACAUAGCAAG
rnacentral:lncRNA from 1 species